rnacentral:rRNA from 1 species
AUUGAACGCUGGCGGCAGGCCUAACACAUGCAAGUCGAACGAGUGGCGGACGGGUGAGUAAUGUCUGGGGAACUGCCUGAUGGAGGGGGAUAACUACUGGAAACGGUGGAUAAUACCGCAUACCAUCGGAUGUGCCCAGAUGGGAUUAGCUAGUAGGUGGGGUAAAGGCUCACCUAGGCGACGAUCCCUAGCUGGUCUGAGAGGAUGACCAGCCACCCGGGAACUGAGACACGGCCCAGACUCCUACGGGAGUCAGCAGUGGGGAAUAUUGCACAAUGGGCGCAAGCCUGAUGCAGCCAUGCCGCGUGUAUGAAGAAGGCCUUCGGGUUGUAAAGUACUUUCAGCGGGGAGGCGUUACCCGCAGAAGAAGCACCGGCUAACUCCGUGCCAGCCGCCGCGGUAAUAC